CGUCACCGGUACCCGUAACUCUUAACGGGGUACCCGUAGAGUUUGACCGGGGCCCUCCAAAUGCCGAACGGGGGACCCACAAGUGUGUGAUCUGCCCUGGACUCUGGGAUAAGCCUGGGAAACUGGGUCUAAUACCGGAUAUGAGCUUACAUCGCAUGGUGUUUGGUGGAAAGCUUUUGCGGUUCAGGAUGGGCCCGCGGCCUAUCAGCUUGUUGGUGGGGUAAUGGCCUACCAAGGCGACGACGGGUAGCCGACCUGAGAGGGUGAUCGGCCACACUGGGACUGAGACACGACCCAGACUCCUACGGGAGGCAGCAGUGGGGAAUAUUGCACAAUGGGCGCAAGCCUGAUGCAGCGACGCCGCGUGAGGGAUGACGGCCUUCGGGUUGUAAACCUCUUUCACCAGGGACGAAGCGCAAGUGACGGUACCUGGAGAAGAAGCACCGGCCAACUACGUGCCAGCAGCCGCGGUAAGACGUAGGGUGCGAGCGUUGUCCGGAAUUACUGGGCGUAAAGAGCUCGUAGGCGGGUUGUCGCGUCGUCUGU
rnacentral:rRNA from 1 species